CGACCAAAACUAAAGAGUGGCGACCGGCGCGACGGGUGAGUAACACGUACCCAACCUCGCCGAUAACUCGGGGAUAGCCUUUCGAAAGAAAGAUUAAUAUCCGAUAGCAUAUAUUUCCCGCAUGGGUUUUAUAUUAAAGAAAUUCGGUAUGAGAUGGGGAUGCGUUCCAUUAGUUUGUUGGGGGGGUAACGGCCCACCAAGACUACGAUGGAUAGGGGUUCUGAGAGGAAGGUCCCCCACAUUGGAACUGAGACACGGUCCAA
rnacentral:rRNA from 1 species